UUGUACAUCUUUUUUUCCCUAGAGUUUAAGAAAAAUGGCAAUUAUCACAACCCAUCUUCAGUACCAGCAAGAAGCCAUUCAGAGAAAUGUUGAGCAUUCAAAAAAUCUGCAGGACCAGUUGACACAUCUUUUGAAAUAAACUUAAAUGUGGAAAGUUUACAGAGUGACACAUCGAGCUGUCAGUGGUGGCUUAGUGUCUGGAAGUGGCACAACAUUCAGACAGGACAAGAUGAGUGUGUUAGAGCUUCCUGUGAAUAUAUCGUGUGUAUUCCAAAGAGCUGUGAAAAGAAGAUAAAAAUGGUUUAGGGGUCCAGAAUGUUCUGUCAAGUGAUAUUGUGACACCAGGAUGAAAAGAAUUUCUGUUAAUAUAAUGGAAUUAUAAUAGAUGUAUUUAAAUAAUGGUUGAUUCCUUCUGCUAUAUUUUAAGUUCUGGGUCAUUUUAUGGGUAUGGUAUGUUUUUUUCCUUCCAGGUGAUAAUUCUCUCUUCUUCCAUAUCUGACAGAAGUUUUAAAACAUUUAUGCUUCAAUUAUGGAUUGGUGCAUUAUCCUAAAAAGAGUUCAAAGACAAUAUUUGUUGUCCAUUUUUAUUAAAUUGUAAAAGGAGCACACUCUUUGAAAAUCUCUUUGAAAUGCUAGAUCAGGUUUGUAAUACUUAAAUUUAACAGGACCCUUGCGUAACUGCUUGUGAUACAUUUG